UGCUUCAGGGGUGCCGGAAUAGGCCGGCUGAGAUUGUAUCCCGCUAAGAUACUGACCCUCUGACCUGAUCUGGGUAAUGCCAGCGUAGGGACUUCG
rnacentral:ncRNA from 1 species